rnacentral:sRNA from 1 species
AGGAGUCUGACAUGUGUGCGA